UACGUAGGGUGCGAGCGUUUGUCCGGAAUUAUUGGGCGUAAAGAGCUCGUAGGCGGUUUGUCGCGUCUGCUGUGAAAACCCGAGGCUCAACCUCGGGCCUGCAGUGGGUACGGGCAGACUAGAGUGAUGUAGGGGAGACUGGAAUUCCUGGUGUAGCGGUGAAAUGCGCAGAUAUCAGGAGGAACACCGAUGGCGAAGGCAGGUCUCUGGGCAUUAACUGACGCUGGAGGAGCGAAAGCAUGGGGAGCGAACAGG
rnacentral:rRNA from 1 species